AGUGAACGCUGGCGGUAGGCCUAACACAUGCAAGUCGAACGGCAGCACAUUAAGAGCUUGCUCUUACGGUUGGCGAGUGGCGGACGGGUGAGGAAUACAUCGGCAUCUACUUUUUCGUGGGGGAUAACGUAGGGAAACUUACGCUAAUACCUCAUACGACCUACGGGUGAAAGCAGGGGAUCUUCGGACCUUUCGAGCAUUCAUGAGCCGAUGUCGGAUUUGUUAGUUGGCGGGGAAAGGGCCCGCCAAGGCGACGAUCCGUAGCUGGUCGGAGUGGAAGGUCAGCCACACUGGAACGGAGACACGGCCCAGACUCCUACGGGAGGAAGCGGAGGGGAAUAUUGGACAAUGGGCGAAGGCUUGAUCCAGCCCUACCGCGUGGGUGAAGAAGGCCUUCGGGUUGUAAAGCCCUUUUGUUGGGAAAGAAGAGCAGCAGGUUAAUACCCCGCUGUUCUGACGGUACCCAAAGAAUAAGCACCGGCUAACUUCGUG
rnacentral:rRNA from 1 species